rnacentral:piRNA from 1 species
UCCAUCCAGGCAAUACCAUGUAGGUGCUGG